GAGAAUGCCCUCUUUAUCAUUCAAGAUGCAAUUCCACCCGAAGAUCUACCUCACCUUCGGCCCUUCGCCUUGGCCAAAGAUGCAUGGCUUUGUGUUGUCUCUCUCUACUGGGGAAGCGCAAGCAUUCAACGCUGCAACUAUGAAGUAGUGCAAGAUGAAGCCGAUGAGUUUGCAAUGAAAGAAGAUGAAGAACCUCGUGAGCUUUAUUGGAGAGUAACCAAACUCGCGGUCUCACUCCGAGAUCACGGGAGUAAGGACACAUAUGACAAUUGGAUCAAGCGCAAAUUCCUCAAGGCAAUGAUGCCUUACCACAAGGCCAUGUCCUUCGUCAUUCGUCAAAGGCCGGACUUCCACACUUUGACCUCAAGUGAAGUGUUGGAUGAGUUUGUGGCUAUGAACAUCUUGGACAAGACCGCC
rnacentral:rRNA from 1 species